CAACCUGAACUCAGGCGUGAUUACCCGCUGAACUUAAGCAUAUCAUUUAGCGGAGGAAAAGAAACUAACAAGGAUUCCCCUAGUAACGGCGAGUGAACGGGGAGAAGCCCAGCGCUGAAUCUUUCGGUGUUACACCGUUAAGAAAUGUAGCGUAUAGGUGUGGUUUUCAGUUUGUGCUACUUAUCCAAAGUCCCUUUGAUAGGGGCCACAUUCCCGAGAGGGUGCGAGACCUGUGCGGAUAGUGGAGCAAGCUGUACGAUCAUACCUUGGAGUCGGGUUGCUUGAAAGUGCAGCCUAAAGUGGGUGAU
rfam:Necator americanus N_americanus-1.0_Cont60353.1, whole genome shotgun sequence.